rnacentral:snRNA from 1 species
AUACUUACCUGGCAGGGGAGAUACCAUGAUCAAGAAGGUGGUUCACCCAGGGCGAGGCUCAGCCAUUGCACUCCGGUUGCGCUGACCCCUGCGAAUUCCCCAAAUGUGGAGUCUCGACUGCAUAUUUCUGGUAGUGGGGGACUGCGUUCGCGCUCCCCUG